GUUUGUUUCCUGUCUCUGUGGUUGUCUGCACCAGAUAGGAGGGUCUUUGGCUUUGGAACGACGGGUCCAGGUUUAGCUACCAGAACUGCGGCCAGGGGCAACCCGAUAACCACAACUAUGGUGCAGUGAACGACAACACGAAUGGCCGUGAGCAUUGCAUGGAGAUGAACUACGGAGGUGACCGUGGCUUGAAUGAUGCACCCUGCCGGAUUCAACGGCCAUUCAUGUGUUCCAGAAAAAUGUGAUUUCUACAGAUUAGUUGAGAAUACGUUAUAUCGUUACUCCCCUGGUUCGUCUGUCAUCAUGUUUAGUGUACUUUUAUAUUCUUGUUGAUUUUAAUGUGGGAUUAUAUUGUUUUUCUAUCUUGAUGAUUAUUGCUGAUUCAGUAAAGUGACCUUGGAUGUCUUGAAAAGCGCUUAAAAUAUAUCAUUAUUGUUUUWAUUAUUAYAUCUGAGACCCUCUCRGGAUAUGKGAUUCUUCAAUAAAGCCACAGUCUGUAAUAUU